CAGAACCCGGUCAUCACGGCCAUCAGUCCCCGCCGCAGCCCUGUCAGGUGAGACUGGCACCCCGCCCUUCCCCCAGGCUCUCUGGGGCUGCAGGUGGACUGAUAGGUUUUGCCGUCCCCUGCAGUGGCGGCAGGACCAUCACGGUGGCUGGUGAGCGUUUCCACAUGGUGCAGAAUGUGUCCAUGGCCGUCCACCACAUUGGCCGGGAGCCCACGCUCUGCAAGGUUCUCAACUCCACCCUCAUCACCUGCCCGUCCCCCGGGGCCCUGAGCAAUGCAUCAGCGCCAGUGGACUUCUUCAUCAAUGGGCGGGCCUACGCAGACGAGGUCGCCGUGGCUGAGGAGCUACUGGACCCCGAGGAGGCACAGCGGGGCAGCAGGUUCCGCCUGGACUACCUCCCCAACCCACAGUUCUCUACGGCCAAGAGGGAGAAGUGGAUCAAGCACCACCCCGGGGAGCCUCUCACCCUCGUUAUCCACAAGGAGCAGGACAGCCUGGGGCUCCAGAGUCACGAGUACCGGGUCAAGAUAGGCCAAGUGAGCUGCGACAUCCAAAUUGUCUCUGACAGAAUCAUCCACUGCUCGGUCAACGAGUCCCUGGGCGCUGCUGAGGGGCAGCUGCCCAUCACAGUGAGUGGAUGGGGUGCCGGAGCAGGGCAGACCCGGCCCCACCCCUGGCCCAUCUGCCAAGCAUCUGCCCUCACCCAGCACCUGAAUUCACUGAGCGUUUU
rnacentral:sRNA from 1 species